rnacentral:rRNA from 1 species
GGUCAAGCGAAUAAGGGCAUAC